UACGGAGGGAGCUAGCGUUGUUCGGAAUUACUGGGCGUAAAGCGCACGUAGGCGGUUAUUCAAGUCAGAGGUGAAAGCCCGGGGCUCAACCCCGGAACUGCCUUUGAAACUAGAUGACUAGAAUCUUGGAGAGGUCAGUGGAAUUCCGAGUGUAGAGGUGAAAUUCGUAGAUAUUCGGAAGAACACCAGUGGCGAAGGCGACUGACUGGACAAGUAUUGACGCUGAGGUGCGAAAGGCGUGGGGAGCAAACAGG
rnacentral:rRNA from 1 species